rnacentral:rRNA from 1 species
GACGAACGCUGGCGGCGUGCAUAAUACAUGCAAGUCGAACGCAGUGGGGACGGGUGAGUAACACGUGGGUAACCUCCCAUCAGAGGGGAUAACACUUGGAAACAGGUGCUAAACCGAUACUGAUGGAAGGACCCGCGGUGCAUUAGCUAGUUGGUGAGGUAACGGCUCACCAAGGCCACGAUGCAUAGCCGCCCUGAGAGGUUGUGCGGCCACACGGGGACUAGCAUAUGCGCCAUUUCCUGACGGAGGGCAUCAGGAGGGAAUCUUCGGCAAUGGACGAAAGUCUGACCGAGCAACGCCGAGUCAGUGAAGAAGGUUUCCUGAUCGUACAACUCGGUUGUUAGAGAAGCGGUAUCUAACCAGAACGCCACGGCUAACUACGUGACAGCGGUCGUGGUAAUUC